rnacentral:tRNA from 1 species
UGGGGCAUAGCUCAGUGGUAAAGUUCUUGCCUAGUAUGCAUGAGGCCCUGGGUUUGAUCCUCAGUACUGCUA